UGGGGAAUUUUGGACAAUGGGCGAAAGCCUGAUCCAGCAAUGCCGCGUGUGUGAAGAAGGCCUUCGGGUUGUAAAGCACUUUUGUCCGGAAAGAAAUCCUUGGCUCUAAUACAGUCGGGGGAUGACGGUACCGGAAGAAUAAGCACCGGCUAACUACGUGCCAGCAGCCGCGGUAAUACGUAGGGUGCAAGCGUUAAUCGGAAUUACUGGGCGUAAAGCGUGCGCAGGCGGUUUGCUAAGACCGAUGUGAAAUCCCCGGGCUCAACCUGGGAACUGCAUUGGUGACUGGCAGGCUAGAGUAUGGCAGAGGGGGUAGAAUUCCACGUGUGAGCAGUGAAAUGCGUAGAGAUGUGGAGGAAUACCGAUGGCGAAGGCAGCCCCCUGGGCAAUACUGACGCUCAUGCACGAAAGCGUGGGGAGCAAACAGGAUUAGAUACCCUGGUAGUCCACGCCCUAAACGAUGUCAACUAGUUG
rnacentral:rRNA from 1 species